rnacentral:ncRNA from 1 species
AAAGCUCCCCGAGCCGGCGGGCCUAAGGGGAUGUACCUAUGGUCGCCGGCCGAUACCGCCGGAACGCGGUAGAGGGUGCGGGCGGAAACGCCCGUGCCUCCCGUGCUUGGAAAGGCGGAGC